rnacentral:misc_RNA from 1 species
UUAAGGAUAAGAGUGAAGAAGUGCUGGUGUGCGUUUUCCUGUGUUUCCAACAGCACAGUCAAUUCCUUCUUCUUGGUCUCCUUCAGAGGGCUGGGCAGUUAGAUAUCAAUCCCAGGGGAACCCUGUACUGUCCUGAACAUGAUCUUGUCGGAUUUUCUCCAACCUCCCAGGGUAUAGCAGCUGUAUGGACUACAAGUGAAGGAGAGACGAUAGUGAGAAGAAGUACAGUUGGAGUAUCUUCAGGCUGGGAGAACGUGGUUCUAGCUGAAUCUGAACCUGGAGUAGAGGAACUAGAACUAGAGAACGAAGAUGAGGAUCCUAGACAGCUCUACCUUGGUGCUCUCUUCUCUCCAGGAGUAUUCAGGGCUGCAACUUUGGCCCGAACUGUUGGUAUAUUCCGGAGGAACCUAGAGAACUCAAAUAUUGACGAAGGAACUACUUGGGAACAGUUAAAACAGGAGGUUGUAUCGGCUGUAGAAGCUGAUAUACAGAACUCUCUAACAGACUAUGAGGUUUCAGACGAGGAUUAUCUGUCAGUAUCUCGUAGUAGCUGGAGCAGGUUCUACUCAAGUGCAGCACAAUAUAGAGCUGUAGGAAACCAACCUAUGGGUUUAGUAACAUCACCUGGAGAAUCCACGAUACUAAUUGUUAGAAAGGAUAUUGUAUCCUGGUGCAGACCGGUAGAAGCAUUAGAACAGGUUGUGGUGUCCGGUGGAGCAGGGGUUAGUAUUGAAAUAUUCUCAGAGAUCCCUCCUCUAUCUGAUGAACCUGGGCUAGCUGGAGAUGUACUCAACCUUCUUAUAGCUGCUGGUAUGGUUUGUCGUCUUCUUCCUGCUUCAGCUUUUAAAGGAUUUAAAACUGCUGUGUAUCAUCAGCAGUCUCCUGAUCUAGUCAGUAGAUCCCUAGCUGCAGAUCUUCUUGCUGAUCAGGAACAGCCAUAUGCUCUAGAGAAGAUGCUCUCUAGGGUUCAGCAGGUUCAGGAUAUAUCCAGAGCUAUGGAAGUUAUCCUGUACUGCCUUGAGCUUGACUCUGGUAGUGUAAGCAGGGGUGAGCUGGAUCUAUCCAGGAUAGAGACAGAUGAACCAUCUCCUAAACUAUUCUCAAGUGAGCUUGGAACCUCUCUAGUCGCAGAAUCUCUCCGUCAGCAGGCUGAGUCAAGGUUGGGUUUAGCUCAGCAGCUCCUGGUUCUUCAGCAUAUACUCCUGGAUUGUAGUGCUACUGCCCGAGUACCGCCUGGAGUACUAGAUUCUAUACUCUCAACCUUCCUUCCAAGAACUACAGUCAUGGUUCACUGUUACAAUGUUCUAUCUUGGCUUUGUCAGGUACCUGCCUGUACACCUCCUAGUUCUAUCCAAGAGCUUGGACUACGCCAGCUUGCUGUUCUUAGACUAUCUGAUAAAUCUACCCAUAUCACAUAUACAAACAGAAAGGACAAGAACACUAGCCUACUAGAACUGUUCUUAAACGGACCCGGUCGUCUUGUGCGCGGCGUGGUGGGAGAAUGCCGCGGUGAGGAUUGUUGGGCACUGGCGCUCUCCCCCAUGAUUAACAUGACCGCACAGCUGUUAUGGCCACGCUGCGCUACUCCAACGUUUCUUAACUUCCUUCUUCGAUCCUCACAGCACGCUAUCGUUCAAAACUACUGCAGGAUGUUAUCGACCUGGUGUGAAUGGCACCCGUAUGCCCGGAAGUUCCUGCUGGGAGUGGCUCACCUCAAUAUGGGAGAGGAGGAGAAGGCUUUGGAUCUGUUCAUCUCCGGUGCUGGAGGUAUUCCACAGGAUCAGUUCCUUACUCAGGAUCUUCUUGAACUUCAGGGGUCUACUCCAGCUGAUCUUACUGUUGAAUACUUUCUCAAGGUUGUAUCCCUGUUAGAACAGUUUCCUUGUCCUGAUCUAGUGAUAUCUCUGACAGAAACCGCUAGAGCUGUAACACCACAGGAUCACAAGGAGCGAGCUACCCUCGCCUACAUAUUGUUCUCCUAUCAUCUAAAACUCGGGCAUAAUGAAGAUGCUUACGCCGCCAUGAUGUCAAAUCCAGAUCUAAGUCGACGAAAAGAUUCUCUGCGACAGUUCCUUGUCACCUUGUUUGACCGAGGAGAGUUGUCGCAGCUGGCGUCCUACCCCUACACCGACAUGAUCGACGAUGUCGAGUCGAUCAUUGAGAGUCGAGCUCGGUCUGCUGAUCUAUCUGUUAAUAACUACUACGACUUCCUGUACAGUUUUCACGUGUCCAAGGAAAACUUCCGGAAGGCUGCUCAGGUCAUGUACGAGUGUGGGACGAGGCUAGGGGUCGAGCUAUGUAACUUCGAUGGGUUGAAGAAACAGGUUCAUGCCUAUCUGUCCUGUAUAAACUGUUUGUACCUGGUGAAUAAGAAAUAUCAAUGGUUGAUAAAACCCUGCUCCACCCCCUCCUCAAGCCCCAAGAGGUUCUUGGGCGGGGAGGAGAAGAUGGAGGAGGUGGAGAACCUAGGGAUGGAGGUGGUGGAGUUGGAGAGCAUAAAGAGAGAACUAGUUCUGAGUCAGGCUCGGCUUAAGCUGACCGUCAUAGCAGGAACAACUCAGGGUAACCUCCCUGCUAGUCCUGGUUUGACCCCAGCUGAGACAGUUGGUUUCCUGACCACCUCCAAUCUCUACAUCUCCGCUAUCCAGAUCUGCGAGGAGUUCUCCCUUCCUCUCACAGGGGUUAUAGAGGCCCUCGCCAGCCGAGCAGUCCGAAUAGCUAACGCAAGACCUCAGGAGAAAUCUGCUGCAUGGUCCUGGCUUGCUGAAAAUAGACCAGGUGGUGUAGAUAUACAGGGAGAUUGUGCUGUAACAGCAACCUGGAACCUUCUAGAGCACCUGGUAACAAGUAAAGAGAAGGCUACGCAGACGGUGCUUCACCGUGUAACCGUAGAACGUCUCUUCUCCCUUGGCUGUGCUCUUCCUCCCUGGUUAGUGUUUGGGUACAAGAAAAGGGACUGCGCCGAGCUCAUCAGGUUGUACCAUGGGCAGGGGAACCUCGAGCCUGCUACCGACCUCGCCUUGGAGUACCUGGAGGCCGUCCUCGGACAGGGUGGGGAGUACUUCGGUCUCGAGCAUAGUUUACAAGCUAAUAAGAGACCUGCGUGGGUUCCCUGGACUGUACUGGAUCGUCUUCUCAUAGAGUUAUCUGAAAAUUCAAAUAUUCCCGCCUUUGCUAAAUGUUUAAAAAGAUUGGAUGCUGGAGUGGAAAAGUAUCUGAGUGUUGUUGAUAGAGUAUCCAGAGAUAUGUUGGUCUGCUCAGGAUAGAUCAUUUCGAGGAUCAUCAACCUCAUCAAUACAUUUAAUCAUCAACCAGAUCAACUCUAGUAUCAUCAACCUCAUCAAUACAUUUAAUCAUCAACCAGAUCAAUUCUAGUAUUAUCUAUAUUAGAAACUAUAUUUCUGUAUAAUUUAAUCAUAUGCUGUUAAAAUCCAUGGAGUUAGUACACAGCACAUGAUAAAUAAUAAGAUAUGGAGAGAGAGAUAGGAGGCAUAUUUUUUUAAUUAAGCUUUCUCUGUCUUCUGUCACUUAACCAAGAUUCAAUCCAGUUCAGAAGAUUUCCAUCAAUACUAUGAGCUCUGAAUUUUGUUACAAGGCGUUUUUAUGGGCUUUUGCAAAAUCUAGGUACACAAUGUCUACAAUUUGACCUGUACUGUCAAAAGUACUAUAAAAAAGUACUACAAAACAUAGAAAGUACUACAUUAGUACAUAAGAAUAGAAUAGAGCACUGUAAUGAAAUUCAGGAUACAAGAUUGCAGACUUCUUACUUUUAAUAUUUCUGACUACCAACCUCGUAUCUAAUAAACCCUCCUGGACCAACACUUCCUUCAAAAGCCACAAGGAUACACUUCUCCAACCUGAUCAUUCCACGUGGAUUCCUAUUCCAACCAUGGUCCGGUAAGUCCAUUUCUUUAAUGAAGGCUCCUGACGGACGAAAGAGCAUGAGUUUUCCAAGGGUAGAAUCAGAUACCAGAAGGAACCCCAUAUUAUCUACCAGAAUUCCUGUAGGUGAUGUUAACCUCCCCACUCCUUCACCAUAGUAUCCAGGAUUGCUGUUUCGUUUUAUCUUGAAGAUCUAUUGAAUAUAUCCUGGCUGCUAUAGAGUCCACCACAAAGAAUGUCUGAUCAAAGUAAACCAGUUCCUCGGGACUGAAUCCUGUUCCUCUCUUGUUUUCAAGCACUUGUAUCUCAAUAGAACCAACAUAAAUGAACAUAGAAUCCGCCAGAUCUUUCCUGUAUCUCCUGAUAGUUUGUUCACCCUGAUCCUUUCCACUUUUAACGGAAGCUAACUCAUGUGUCGCCUCAACCCAGCACAAUCCACUGAAACAUCCUGGAAUGAAUUGAAAGGAAACAGCUCGCAAAUAUGGAUUCUCAUCGAUCAGGAAUAUAUUGAUGCCGUUACUUUGUAGAAUCGCCAAGUAGUUCCCUGUAACAACUAUAUUUCUAGGAUUCCAUAGCGUGUAGUCAGGACAGGAUAACCAGGAUCAAAGAUACCAAUCCUAUUCCUUUUAGGUUCGGAGAUAAAAAGUAAGGAUCUCGUGGAAUCAAAGACAAAGAAGGCAGGAUGUUCCAAGCAGCAGAUUUUCCUAACAGGAUAACAUUCAAUCUCCUUCAGGUUACCAGAUCCAAAUCUAAAUUUGGAGGGGUCUUCUGGUUCAAAUUCCCAUAAUGAAUCCUCAGCUUCAUUUUCCUGGGGAUCAAGACAAAGUACAAGACGGUUCUUCCCUCGAAAACAUUUUCCACUGGUUCACACAGACUUCAUCUUUUUUGCCUUCUUCAAUUCAUCUUUGACUAGCUCCAGAGUUUCAUCACUUUCAUCUUUAGAAGAUGUGUCUUAAAACAGCUCAUGAACUAGUUUUAUUGGCAAACAAUAAUAAUAAUUGUAGCAGUUGAAAGAAGAAAAACAAAUCCAUCUCCUCCGUUUCUAGUACUCCUUGAUAAUAACAAUGUGAUAAUAUUAAAAAUGUGUUAAAGGGACUGUAUCUAUCCGUCUCAACCCGCCUGACAAGAUUAUAAUCUGAUCUCAGUUUUUCUUCAGAA